rnacentral:misc_RNA from 1 species
AAUUUUUCUCUUGCUAGUUUGGUUCCCUUUUUACCAUCCAUAAUUAGUUGAACGUGAAUGACAUUGUAGCAUUUGUAUAUUUGGUACUUUUAGCAUGAUUUUGGAUAUUUUAUAUGUUAAAUUUAUCUGUGGUUGAGUUCAUCAUGAAAUUUUCUAUGCAUAGAAAUGGUUAGAUUUAAUAAAGUAUUAAUAUUUUGCGAACAGGAGCAUCUUAUUUGUGGG